AAGCAGUGCAGUAGGACAUGCCUUGCCACUGCGGCACAUACCUGGUCAGGGGCUGGAUAUUGCCCUUGAAUGGGGCCCUGCUGGAGAGACAGGCAGAGGAGCACCCACAACUCCCUGAGAAAGCUGGACAUGAGCCAUGUGCUUUAUUUCAGAGACCCAGAGGCUGAAAGUUCCUAUUUAUCCACAAGGCAAGCAUUGGCUCUCCAUUGACUUUAUAAACAUUUGUGUGGUAACCAUUCAGCAUUUCUCAAGGUUGACUCAUUGGAGUGCAGGAGAAGCCGGAGACAGCCCUGAGACCAGAAGAGAUGAUGAACAGAGGUACAAGGUCAUGACAAAUGUAGUGUGGCUACACAGAAGUGGUGCAACUGGAGCUCCCUCAGGGCAUGAGAAGCGAGCAGAAGCAAGAGGAGCACAUAGUGACCUUCACCUUGUGUAAUGGAGGUACACGUCUGUUUGCCCUGCAGCAGUGAAGGCCACCCUUGAAUUACAGAUGGUAUGGAACAGAACUACUUAUUUUGAUCUAGUACUCUGUGAAAAAUUGGGAAUUACCAUUUCCUAGGCUCUAUCUCAUACCUUUUCUGACCAUGAAGGCUUCAGUCACAUUUUCCUCACUUCUCCCUUGAGAAUCCUCCUAACUUUUGUACCUCUUCACCAAUAACAUCUGUACACUGAGAAAACACAACUGCAAUUUUGACAGGGGUGUUCAGGAACUUUGAGAUUGGGAUUGGUUGCUUCCUCUUAUCCAGUUUAUCUCCUUCCUCAAGUUACUAUUUCUCACUUGACUUCAGAGCCAAGCUGCGUUACACCUGCUGCGUUCACCCACAGAGACACUGUCUAUGUGCUGCAGACUCAUUCAUCUCGAUUCUUCUUGAGCUGUCGAAAAUGGCAUCACUUUCUGAGGUGUAGGUUUUACCUGCAACAAUAUAGAGCCAAAUGUACAUGAAGAUUGUUUUGCAAGAUGUAUGGGAUCCUUACAUUUUCAUUAAAGCUAUUCACCUUGUGCUUACUAAUGGAUGAUGAUAUUUACCAGUCUAUGUAUAUAUGUCUGUAUAUGUUUGUUCGAGCAAGACUUUGAUGGCCAUUAGAGAUCAGCAGUGUGGUACAGGGGUGAUUUUGGCCAUGGAAAUAGAGGCAAAGCUCCUGCAAGCUGUCUUGAAGUUGAGACAAACUUCAAUCUAUUCAUCCCCUGUCAGAACAUAUGAGGAUUCAUGUGAUGGGACAUGAUGAGGAAGGUAGGGGGAAAAAGGGAAAAUAAAACAAGCAUCUCUACAACUU
rnacentral:lncRNA from 7 species